CCUACGGGGGGCAGCAGUGAGGAAUAUUGGUCAAUGGUCGGGAGACUGAACCAGCCAAGCCGCGUGAGGGAGGAAGGUACAGAGUAUCGUAAACCUCUUUUGUCAGGGAACAAAGACUGGGACGCGUCCCCGGAUGAGUGUACCUGAAGAAAAAGCAUCGGCUAACUCCGUGCCAGCAGCCGCGGUAAUACGGAGGAUGCGAGCGUUAUCCGGAUUUAUUGGGUUUAAAGGGUGCGCAGGCGGUCUGUUUAGUCAGCGGUCAAAGCCCGGGGCUCAACCCCGGCACGACGUUGAUAAUGGCAGACUCGAGUUGGAGAGAGGUAUGCGGAAUGCGCGGUGUAGCGGUGAAAUGCAUAGAUAUCGCGCAGAACUCCGAUUGCGAAGGCAGCAUGCCGGCUCCACACUGACGCUGAGGCACGAAAGCGUGGGUAUCGAACAGGAUUAGAUACCCGAGUAGUC
rnacentral:rRNA from 1 species